GACGAACGCUGGCGGCGUGCUUAACACAUGCAAGUCGAACGGAAAGGCCCUGCUUUUGUGGGGUGCUCGAGUGGCGAACGGGUGAGUAACACGUGAGUAACCUGCCCUUGACUUUGGGAUAACUUCAGGAAACUGGGGCUAAUACCGGAUAGGAGCUCCUGCUGCAUGGUGGGGGUUGGAAAGUUUCGGCGGUUGGGGAUGGACUCGCGGAUUAUCAGCUUGUUGGGGGGGUAGUGGCUUACCAAGGCUUUGACGGGUAGCCGGCCUGAGAGGGUGACCGGCCACAUUGGGACUGAGAUACGGCCCAGACUCCUACGGGAGGCAGCAGUGGGGAAUAUUGCACAAUGGGCGGAAGCCUGAUGCAGCAACGCCGCGUGCGGGAUGACGGCCUUCGGGUUGUAAACCGCUUUCGCCUGUGACGAAGCGUGAGUGACGGUAAUGGGUAAAGAAGCACCGGCUAACUACGUG
rnacentral:rRNA from 1 species